UCCGUUGAUGGCAUCUGAAAUGGAGCAAAGGUUUACCGCUAAGGGAUGGGGAUGCGUCUGAUUAGGUAGUCGGCGGGGUAACGGCCCACCGAGCCGACGAUCAGUAGGGGUUCUGAGAGGAAGGUCCCCCACAUUGGAACUGAGACACGGUCCAAACUCCUACGGGAGGCAGCAGUGAGGAAUAUUGGUCAAUGGGCGAGAGCCUGAACCAGCCAAGUAGCGUGCAGGAUGACGGCCCUAUGGGUUGUAAACUGCUUUUGCAUGGGAAUAAAGUGCGGGACGCGUCCCGUUUUGUAUGUACCAUGAGAAUAAGGACCGGCUAAUUCCGUGCCAGCAGCCGCGGUAAUACGGAAGGUCCGGGCGUUAUCCGGAUUUAUUGGGUUUAAAGGGAGCGCAGGCUGGAGAUUAAGCGUGACGUGAAAUGCCGCGGCUCAACCGUGGAAGUGCGUCGCGAACUGGUUUCCUUGAGUGUAUUCGACGUCAGCGGAAUUCGUGGUGUAGCGGUGAAAUGCUUAGAUAUCACGAAGAACUCCGAUUGCGAAGGCAGCUGGCGAGGCUAUAACUGACGCUAAAGCUCGAA
rnacentral:rRNA from 1 species